UGUACAGCAGAGUGCAGUUUAUUGCUUGCAUCUCUGCAGUAGCUAGAGGCUCUGAGCAGAUGUAAAUUAUAUUAUUUGCUAACAGUAUCUUCCAGUCAAACAGUAAAAGAAAUCCUCUGAAGGUUACAUGACUGAAGUAGAGGUGAAAACAAAAGUGAAAGGCUGAAUUCACUGCCUCAGUCUCUGUUACUGUCUGUUACUGUGUUUAUUAAGACCUUCAGCAGUGGAAAGCAUAAUCAAGUCUGAGCAGGUCUUCUUCAGCUCCAUACAGUGCAGUCAAGUCUCCACACCUUCGCUGUUAUCACCUGAGGUUGGACCAGAUGGCCUUCAGAAAUUCCUUCCAAGCUGCUGGUUUUGUCAGUGAUUACCUGUGUUAGCUUGACAUGCAUUGGACAGGAACUAGCAUACAACUGCAAAGAAUUCCAGAAAGAUCUCACAGUUGUUACUGGCUUUAAGAACACACAAACCUCUAACCAGCAGUCCUACACCUCUGAAGAACGAAAGCAUCAUCUCUGAGCUACAGAACUGCUGGUCAGGAAACGUUCUGGAGAAAGGUGCUUGCCUUUUCUUACAUUCUCCCUAGGCAACCACUGCUGGCCUCUGCCCCUUUGGAUCCCAUCCUUCAUCUAAGACCAAGCAUUAACCUGACCUGCACACAGUGCUUAAGUCCCCCCAGGAGAAAGGACUGCAGAAAAACUGAACAAAGAAAAUAACUGAUUGCACGAGACAACAAAUAGCAAAAGAGAGAUGACUGCAAUGGGACGCCUGCAGAAGCACCUCUGGCAGCACCCCGUACUUCAAGAAAAAGGGAUGAACUUCUGGAUUGAGCUAAUAAAACCGUGUGACAUCAGACAAACCCCCCACAGCAAGGUGCCUUCUGCCAACUCCUAGGCCCUGGAAGCUGACAGUCUGUGGUUGAUCACAAGUACGAUAUGGGAAUGGUGUUUGUGGGACAGCUCUAGCUGGGGCGACGUAUCUACUUCCUUCAAGCCUUUUCGAUGUUAUAAGCCCUUGCUAUACGAGUAGCUACAGAGAUUUUUGUCAUUUUUACUAGUUAAUUUGAAGAUGAUUCUAAAGACAACCCAGCACAGAAGGGUGCAUUUCAGAGAAAAGCAAAUAAUGUUUCCCCACCUCCACAUUCAAGUACAGUUAAGAGGCAACAGCAACGUAGGAUCACUGAAAAGCUGUCACAGUUCUUUUUACAGUGAAAAUCACCAGGUGUUCAAAUGAUUCAUACAUUUAAGUAAAACCAAAAUACACUCGUGAAAUUUCAAUGCUCGAACACAGAAACGUCACCGUGAACCCAUUCCCAGUGCAAGCGAAGAGCACAACAACACUUGGACAUCCUGGAGAAGGAAUUGAAGAGCUGAAAUCGACUUCCUAGUUAAUUAAUGCUUAAUUAAUCUUUGUUCAAGGAGGUGCGUGGCGGUUUGUAGAUUGCAAUGUUUAUCCAGGAGGUGCCCCAGUGUUCAUUGCUCCUGCCCACAAAAACUGCUUGGGUUAUAAUAUAACAGCACCUCCAGAGGAUCUCUGUUGCUCACAAAGAUUUCAUUCAUUAGGUGCAUCACCUCUGAGACGUUUUUGUUUGCUAGUACCUGUUUGUUUGUGGCUUGGUUGCUUUUUUGAUGUCUGAGAUUCCACUCAGUAGUUGACGCUUUAUUCUGAAAAUGAUCGCAUUUGUUUUGAGAAUAUUUGCUCUCUGAACUCUCAUUUAGUUUAAUAUGCCUAUUGUAAAUACCCUCAAUUGCCCCUUAAGGUAAAAGACCACAAGCUACGCUGUCAGAGCUCCUGCUUUGAGGAAGUUUGAUCUACCUUAAGCGAGAGUUUCUAGAGUAACGUUUCCAGAUGUCAGACCUCUCCCACUUCUCUUCCGCCACCCUCUCAAAUUGGAUAGGAAACAAGCAGUCUUCUGCUGGAGCUGAUAGGCUCCAAGAACAAAAUGCAGCAGUUCCCUAAUCAGCUUCCAACCAUAAAUAAUGCUGUGUUCUUUCCAUGUGAAUUGAUAUUUACAUCAACAUGUAAAUACCCUAAACAUCCACAGCCAAUCAGUUUGAUGUAGGUGUUGAUUUGCUGUCAUGUAGCACAUUAUGCUGCAUUAUGUUGCUGCACGUGCUGUGUAGAAAUCACUUGUUAAUGCUACAGUUUCCUCAACCUGUGACCAGGAGCAGCCUGCUGAGCAGAGCGGCGCAGGAAGGGUUCGUGCUCAGGCGCAGACCAAGGGCUUCGUAACCAAGGGCUACGGGCAGCUCCUCAGGAAAGCACAGAUAAGAUUUACAGCUAAGGUAAAGGCAGUUACAGAGCACCACGCACAACUUGACCAUGUGUUUAUAGUAAUUUUAUUUACAAGUUACCAUACAACACCUGUAGUACUACACUUUUUAUAACACCAUUAGAAGUAAAAUAAGUAACAUCUAGAAUAGGAGGCAGCAGAGAAAAAUGUGCACAGAGAAUGCAGAAAAGCUAUUCAGUUAUAAUUAAAAGUAGGCAUCGUUCUACACACUUCGAAAGCAAGGAGAAAUGUACAAGUUGAGAAGAGCGAGUUCUUCACCCCUGUUAGUUCUACAGCAUUAAAUUUUUUCUAACAGUGACAUCUCGGUAUGAUGAACACUACACACUAGCAGUCAAAUGCAAGUGCUGGGGAGAUUACUAUAUUGAUACCUUGUCCUUCCGAGGAAAAACAAAGCUUCCCUCUUUAAAGGAAAGUUAUCCAGGGCAGAUUUACUUGCAGAGCCAGUAGUGCAGAAAUGCUAUCAGGGGGCAGGAAGGACAGAAUUAAGACUAGAGAGUUCCCAUGCAUUGCAUAUUGCCUGUGCGUUCUUAUCUGGUCUUGAGUUAGUAGUCGGUGAACAAAACCAGUUGCAGCAUUCCCCAAGUCUUUUUACAGCGCCGUGAUCUUAUAAGGCCGUGUGUAGCUUAGCAGAAUCCCAAAAUCAAGCAGAGAAAAAAGCCCUUCUGCUCUCUUGUAAUCCUUGGCUCUAACGGUGCUGGUGUUGAGCCGGGGCCUUUCUCAAGAGGAAAAACAUGGAGGAGCAAUUCCGGAGAAGCUCCCUGGAUCUGGAUGUGUUCUGCUGAUAAACUCAGAGGAAAACAAGCUUAGUGCAGCAUCAGAUGCAACUCUUUUCUGCUUCAAAGCACUGCAGCAGCUUCCAGAAAGCAAACAAGUGUUAUGCAGGACUUUUUCCCCAGAAUACAUCAUUAACAGCCCGGAACAACUGUCAAUGCACAAAAUCCAUGCUAGCAGCAACCAUUGGAAAGACAAUGAAAAUAAAAGCUGCACAGUAAUAAUUACUUCCACUACUAACUACACACAGGAUAUAUUGCUUUUGGUACAAUGCCACUUAUUGUUAGAAGAAAACCAGUGACUACGUUGAGCACGCAUGAAUUAUGCAGAUCUUUGCCAUGCUGGAAUAACAGCAAAUUAUACUCAGAGAAACGUCAAGUCAGCUGUAAAAACGACUUAACACAGUUCUCCCCACAUACCAAACUACCCUCAAAAACAAGCCCACGAAUUAAGUUGAGCUACAAAAGAAUGUUUAAGAAAUGACCACAAUUUUAUUUUUCUUUAAUCCCCACCUUCUUCUGGAGUGCUGAUGUACGCUGCACACGAGAGCAAACAGAACACGUAGCUACAGUGACACCAACAACGCUCCUUUAAGCACUUCUGGAUGUGCCAACUGGCCUGCAGAAGUUUGUUCCCUCCACAUUUGCGCAUGCCUACUCAAAGAGCCUGCAAAAGUAAACAUGUACCAAAACUAACAAAACUUUAAAAACACCGAACAUUAAAACUUCUUUAGUCUAUGAACCUGAAUCUAAGAUGCCUCAACUACGAGAUAGAAUAUUUGUAAAUUUUAAGCAUUUCUAGGAACAGGAAGGUUUGAUAGCCAAAGUUUUCUCCCCUGCUAUUGAGAUUAAAGCUGAGCUAGGAGAAGGCCUGACUUCAAAUCUUCCCUGAGUUUUCAGCUCGCUGCUGCUAUCAUCGGUUCAGAGUUUCAAGCCAAGAUUCUGAAUAUUCAGCAUUUUUGCAUUUGCAGAUUUAAGGCAGAAAAGCAUCUUCAGAACAAGCUAUGUGUCUUGGACGUUGUGAUCGAAGCAGAAGGUGCAUCGUAAGUCUCCUGCUCAUAGCAGAUUGUUACCAUUCUGUUAUUUUUUAAACUCGCAGCACACUCACAGCUUUGGGUUACGCUUUUUUUUUUUGCUUGAAAAGCCUGAAUUUUGAUAUAGUUUCAGUAGUGCAGAAGAAUGCAUCAUAGCCAGGGAGAAUGAAGUUUUCCAUUGUUAUUUCUGGCUUUUGUAUUCAAGGCAUUAAAACAGUAAGGUGGAAUUAACAGAUGCUGUGCAAAACCCCAGCUGGAGCAAAGCCCAGGCGCCGGAGCUGCAGCACAGGACCUGCGCUGCCUGUGCAAGUGGGCUCCCCAAAGCCAGCGGCUGGAGCGUAACCAGCAGCCCUUGAGUCAGCUGCCCGUGAGCAGGGCCCGGCUCUGUGAAGUAUGGCUGCGUCCAUGGCCUUACAGAAUAACUGAAACAACCCAGACAUUUCUAAAAAGCAAACAAAGGGAGAGUUGUGAGACCACAGGGAAGCUACAGCCAUACAAAAUAAGGAGAAGAAAGAAUAAGAAAGUGACACCGAGUCAGACACAGCAGUCAAAGGACUGGGGAGAAAAAUACCAACAAGGAAUGUAUAAACCCUGAGGAAGAAAAGCAUCACUGGAAGACAGAAACUCAACGGGACCAAAGGUCAGCUCUGUGCAAGAAGCAACGGCAGGAGACAGAGAAGCAUUUAAAUCGACCAGUGGCACAACUGGGAGCACCACACAAAGCCACAGAAAGACCCACAAGAUACACAAAAGGAUUCAGCUCAGUGUUUUCAGGUGAGGCAGCAUGCUGGCUCUCCAGCAUUCUCAAGACAUUUCUUCCUUUUUUGUGGGGAAUCAGAAAAAUGCCCAAGGACUCCUUUUAUGUCCCUCACGUGCGAACCAGCCACCCCUGCACCAAGGGAAAUGAACUCCCAAAGGAUCACGCAUCGCUCUGCCAGAAUAAUUAACGGGGUGGAAAAGGGAAAGAACUGAAGAAGGGGUGAUGCUGCAAGGAAGAUGUGAGGACGCUUUAGAGAAAUGACAAGAGGUUUCCAGUAUUUACAGGGUAUUCAAGGAUUAAGAGUCAGAAAAGUUCAAACCAGGGUCUGCUGAACGUCAGGCUCAAGUUUCUAACAGCAACAAAGGACUCCUCACACUCCUCACACCACACGUGACCCAAGCGUAUCGCUCAUUUCCCAUCAUUUCACCUGCUUUAUAUUGCCCCUCAGAAACGAACACCCCAUCGCCAGGUCACAUGCUGUGCUUCCAGCAGCAAGAGUCUCAGGUGACCUGCCAGGUGCUUUUGCUUACCUGUUCUGAGGAUUCACACCAGUUUAUGUAAUAGGACCAGUAAUCUGUUGUGUAUCACCAGAACCGCAUGAAUCCCAAAGAAAGGUUUUUGGAACAGCUGAGACUUCAGCUUCACUUUGAAAAAGAAGACAAAGAAAAAAAUUGUCAUGGUAGCAAGAUGUACUGAAAAAAACAGGCAGAGUUCUGCAAGAUAGCUGAAGGAAAUACCCAAGGUGUGAGCACCUUACAAAGUGGAACAGUAAAGGCUUCACCAGAGCAACUUUCACCUCUUAAUUCCAAGAUCAGCCCUCAGUGAACGCGGUGUGAUGGAAGCUCAGCCCUGGCACCUGGCAGCGCCUGGAUGCUGUCCUGCAGAGGAACCAAAGCUCUUCCGCAUCGCUGACGUGGCACACAUUCAUGCGACGAAGAUUUUAAAUCUUCUACAAUUAUCAAAUGUUCAUUUUUUUCAGCUUGUCAAGCAUUACGCAAAUGCUACUUAGUAGAAAGUACAAUGAAACACACAGAAGUGAGAAGAUACUGGGGUUGUAGCUCUACAAAGCCCAACGGCAUCAAAUCUACACUGCUCAAACCAACAUGGUUAUAAUCAGAAGCAGUUCCUCAAGACUUUGUGAGCGCAGGAGCUCCUCCAGCGCUGGCUAUUCAGCCUGCACGGCACGCUGCUCACCAGAGCACACCACUCAAGCACUGAGCCUGCACACAGACCCCACAGCUCAUCUAUGCAGUCUUUGGCUCCGAGGUCUCACUACCCACUGCCCUUCAAAGCUCAGACAGGAAGGAUCGGCGUCCUAUUCUGGUGAACAAAGCAAAUAAAAGCAAAGUGUUUUCCAACUAAUCCUAUUUAAACAAGUGUGACAAAAACACUGAGUCCAGCAGCAGCUUGUCUAAACCUCUGCUGGGACGAUGCAGUUCAGUCAAACUUUGAAGUAACUCACUGAAACACACACUGCAAUGCAGCACACUGCUAGAGGGAACAGAGACAGACAAGGGCAGCCACAGCCAUGAAAAAGCAACGUGCAUAACUGCAUGUGUGGCAAAAUCAAACUCU